rnacentral:rRNA from 1 species
UACGUAGGGUGCAAGCGUUGUCCGGAAUUAUUGGGCGUAAAGAGCUCGUAGGCGGCUUGUCGCGUCUGUUGUGAAAGCCCGGGGCGUAACCCCGGGUCUGCAGUGGAUACGGGCAGGCUAGAGGCAGGUAGGGGAGAACGGAAUUCCCGGUGUAGCGGUGAAAUGCGCAGAUAUCGGGAGGAACACCGGUGGCGAAGGCGGUUCUCUGGGCCUGUACUGACGCUGAGGAGCGAAAGCGUGGGGAGCGAACAGG